rnacentral:tRNA from 1 species
GCGCACUUAUCUCAAAUGGUAAGAGCAUCACUCUUGAAAGUUGAGGUUGUGGGUUUGAUUCCCACAGUGCACA